AUUGACGCUGGCGGGCAGGCCUAACACAUGCAAGUCGAGCGGAUGAAGGGAGCUUGCUCCUGGAUUCAGCGGCGGACGGGUGAGUAAUGCCUAGGAAUCUGCCUGGUAGUGGGGGAUAACGUCCGGAAACGGGCGCUAAUACCGCAUACGUCCUGAGGGAGAAAGUGGGGGAUCUUCGGACCUCACGCUAUCAGAUGAGCCUAGGUCGGAUUAGCUAGUUGGUGGGGUAAAGGCCUACCAAGGCGACGAUCCGUAACUGGUCUGAGAGGAUGAUCAGUCACACUGGAACUGAGACACGGUCCAGACUCCUACGGGAGGCAGCAGUGGGGAAUAUUGGACAAUGGGCGAAAGCCUGAUCCAGCCAUGCCGCGUGUGUGAAGAAGGUCUUCGGAUUGUAAAGCACUUUAAGUUGGGAGGAAGGGCAGUAAGUUAAUACCUUGCUGUUUUGACGUUACCAACAGAAUAAGCACCGGCUAACUUCGUGCCAGCAGCCGCGGUAAUACGAAGGGUGCAAGCGUUAAUCGGAAUUACUGGGCGUAAAGCGCGCGUAGGUGGUUCAGCAAGUUGGAUGUGAAAUCCCCGGGCUCAACCUGGGAACUGCAUCCAAAACUACUGAGCUAGAGUACGGUAGAGGGUGGUGGAAUUUCCUGUGUAGCGGUGAAAUGCGUAGAUAUAGGAAGGAACACCAGUGGCGAAGGCGACCACCUGGACUGAUACUGACACUGAGGUGCGAAAGCGUGGGGAGCAAACAGGAUUAGAUACCCUGGUAGUCCACGCCGUAAACGAUGUCGACUAGCCGUUGGGAUCCUUGAGAUCUUAGUGGCGCAGCUAACGCGAUAAGUCGACCGCCUGGGGAGUACGGCCGC
rnacentral:rRNA from 1 species